UACGUAGGGUGCGAGCGUUGUCCGGAAUUACGGGGCGUAAAGAGCUCGUCGGUGGAUUGUCGCGUUGUUCGUGAAAUCUCACGGCUUAACUGUGAGCGUGCGGGCGAUACGGGCAGACUAGAGUACUGCAGGGGAGACUGGAAUUCCUGGUGUAGCGGUGGAAUGCGCAGAUAUCAGGAGGAACACCGGUGGCGAAGGCGGGUCUCUGGGCAGUAACUGACGCUGAGGAGCGAAAGCGUGGGGAGCGAACAGG
rnacentral:rRNA from 1 species